rnacentral:rRNA from 1 species
GACGAACGCUGGCGGCGUGCUUAACACAUGCAAGUCGAGCGGUAAGGCCCUUUCGGGGGUACACGAGCGGCGAACGGGUGAGUAACACGUGGGUGACCUGCCCUCAGCUCUGGGAUAAGCCCGGGAAACUGGGUCUAAUACCGGAUAUGACUUCAUGACGCAUGUUGUGGAGUGGAAAGCCUUGUGCGGCUGAGGAUGGGCCCGCGGCCUAUCAGCUUGUUGGUGGGGUGANGGCCUACCAAGGCGACGACGGGUAGCCGGCCUGAGAGGGCGACCGGCCACACUGGGACUGAGAUACGGCCCAGACUCCUACGGGAGGCAGCAGUGGGGAAUCUUGCGCAAUGGGCGAAAGCCUGACGCAGCGACGCCGCGUGAGGGAUGAC